AUUGAACGCUGGCGGCAUGCCUUACACAUGCAAGUCGAACGGCAGCACGGGAGCUUGCUCCUGGUGGCGAGUGGCGAACGGGUGAGUAAUACAUCGGAACGUACCCUGAAGUGGGGGAUAACGUAGCGAAAGUUACGCUAAUACCGCAUAUUCUGUGAGCAGGAAAGAGGGGGAUCGCAAGACCUCUUGCUUUAGGAGCGGCCGAUGUCGGAUUAGCUAGUUGGUGAGGUAAAGGCUCACCAGGGCGACGAUCCGUAGCGGGUCUGAGAGGAUGAUCCGCACACUGGGACUGAGACACGGCCCAGACUCCUACGGGAGGCAGCAGUGGGGAAUUUUGGACAAUGGGCGCAAGCCUGAUCCAGCCAUGCCGCGUGAGUG
rnacentral:rRNA from 1 species